rnacentral:rRNA from 4 species
CGUUCCCAUGCCGAACACGGAAGUUAAGCUCUUCAGCGCCGAUGGUAGUCGGGGGUUUCCCCCUGUGAGAGUAGGACGCCGCCAAGC